rnacentral:rRNA from 1 species
GAGGAAAGAGGGAGGCGUGCCUAAUACAUGCAAGUCGAGCGAACGGACGAGAAGCUUGCUUCUCUGACGUUAGCGGCGGACGGGUGAGUAACACGUGGAUAACCUACCUAUAAGACUGGGAUAACUUCGGGAAACCGGAGCUAAUACCGGAUAAUAUUUUGAACCGCAUGGUUCAAAAGUGAAAGACGGUCUUGCUGUCACUUAUAGAUGGAUCCGCGCUGCAUUAGCUAGUUGGUAAGGUAACGGCUUACCAAGGCAACGAUGCAUAGCCGACCUGAGAGGGUGAUCGGCCACACUGGAACUGAGACACGGUCCAGACUCCUACGGGAGGCAGCAGUAGGGAAUCUUCCGCAAUGGGCGAAAGCCUGACGGAGCAACGCCGCGUGAGUGAUGAAGGUCUUCGGAUCGUAAAACUCUGUUAUUAGGGAAGAACAUAUGUGUAAGUAACUGUGCACAUCUUGACGGUACCUAAUCAGAAAGCCACGGCUAACUACGUG